GAGCCUGAGAAACGGCUACCACAUCCAAGGAAGGCAGCAGGCGCGCAAAUUACCCAAUCCCGACACGGGGAGGUAGUGACAAUAAAUAACAAUACAGGGUUCUUUUGGAUCUUGUAAUUGGAAUGAGUACAAUUUAAAUCUCUUAACGAGGAACAAUUGGAGGGCGAGUCUGGUGCCAGCAGCCGCGGUAAUUCCAGCUCCAAUAGCGUAUAUUAAAGUUGUUGCAGUUAAAAAGCUCGUAGUUGAAUUUCGGGAUCAAUAUUUCGGUCAUGCCGUUGGUAUGCACUGUUAUCAUUGAUUUCUCACCUUCUAAAGAACCAUAAUGCCAUUAAUUUGGUGUUACGGGGAAUUAGGACUGUUACCUUGAAAAAAUUAGAGUGUUUAAAGCAGGCUCACGCUUGAAUACAUUAGCAUGGAAUAAUGAAAUAGGACAUCCGAUUCUAUUUUGUUGGUUUCUAGGAUCGAUGUAAUGAUUAAUAGGGAUAGUUGGGGGCAUUAGUAUUCAAUUGUCAG
rnacentral:rRNA from 1 species